UGCAGUUUCUGGGUCCUCUUUCUUGCUCUUCUUGAAAAAUGGGACAAGGUUUGCCAGCUUCCAGUCAUCUGGGACCUCUCUGGAUUCCCAAGACCACUUAAAAUUAAAUCAAGAGAGAGGUUUUGUGAUGACAUCAGACAGCUCUUUGAGGAUUCUAGGAUUAAUCCCAUCAGGCCCCAUAGAUUUGUAGGAAUCCAGCUGGAGCAGCAGAUCCCACACAAUUCAGGAGAAAAUUCCUGUUCAGCCAGGCCAGCCUUCUGUCUUGCCUUUUCGUCUUAAGACAUUUGGGAAUUUCCAAAUGGGAUGCUGCAGUCCACUUCUGCUUUCUUUUUACCUGUUAGAGAGGUCAUCCUGUAGUGAUUUUCAGCAGGGCCCAGCUCGCCUCUCAGAUGGAGUUUGGAGACUGAAGGGAAAUUAGAUGCAUCUGAAUAUGGAUCAGCAUGCUCUUCCAUUCGUGAAUAUUCUGAGUUGGAAGGAACCCACAAGGAUCAUCAAGUCCAGCUCUCAAGUGAAUGGCCUGCACAGGGAUCAAACCCAUGACCUUGACUUUUGUAGCACCAUGCUCUAACCAAUUAAGGAGAAGUUGACCCUCACUAGAUGCAAGUUCACAAAAGACAGAGAAAAAAAUCUUAAAUCGUCAUUUUCAAAAAUUGUGUUUUGAGAAGCAGGAAUGUUGGGAAAAAAAUCUGGAAGGAGAAUUGAGGAUGGGGAAAAGGCAGAGAAGAUAAAAAACACAUCAGCUUUGGCACUGGCAAGGAAUGGGGACUCAGGGAUGCUCAUUGACAGGCAGCUGGAUAUGUAUCAGCAGUGUGCUCAGGUGGCCAAAAAGACCAGUGGCAGCUUGGUCUAUAUCAAGAAUACUGUGGCCAGCAGGACCAAGGAAGUGAUUUUCCUGCUGUACUCGACACUGGUGAGGCGUCACCUUGAGUACUAUUUUCAGUUUUGGGCCCCUCAUUUCAAAAAGGAUAUUGAGGUGAUGGAGCUUGUCCAGAGAAUGGACAAUGCUGGUUAAGGGUCCAGAAAACAUGUCCUAUGAGGAACAACAACUGGGGAAACUGUGGUUGUUAAUCUGGAGAAAAGGAGACUAAGUUGUGACUUCAUUGUUCACUACGACUACCUGAUAGGAGGUUGUAGUGAGGUGAAGGUUGGUCUCUUCUUCCAAGUCUCAAGUGAAAAGAUGAGAGGAAAUGGCAUUAAAUUGCACCAGGGGAGGUUCAAAUUAGAUAUUAGGAAAACUUUUUUCACUGAAAGAGUGGUUUUUCACUGGAAUAAAUUGCCAGGGAGGUAGUGGA